rnacentral:rRNA from 1 species
GACAGAGGGGGCAAGCGUUGCUCGGAAUUACUGGGCGUAAAGGGCGCGUAGGCGGGAUGGCAAGUCGGUCGUGAAAUCCCUCGGCUCAACCGAGGAACGUCGAUCGAUACUGCUGUUCUUGAGGAUUGCAGAGGAGACUGGAAUUCCCGGUGUAGCGAUGAAAUGUGUAGAGAUCGGGAGGAACACCGGUGGCGAAGGCGGGUCUCUGGGCAAUUCCUGACGCUGAGGCGCGAAAGCGUGGGGAGCAAACAGG